rnacentral:rRNA from 1 species
CCUACGGGAGGCAGCAGUGAGGAAUAUUGGGCAAUGGGCGCGAGCCUGAACCAGCCAAGUAGCGGGAGGGAAGACGGUCCUAUGGAGUGUAAACCUCGAUUGUCGGGGAGGAAAAGACGCCACGCGUGCCGUUCCGAGAGUACCCGAUGAAUAAGGAUCGGCUAACUCCGUGCCAGCAGCCGCGGUAAGACGGGGGAUGCGAGCGUUAUCCGGAGUUAUUGGGUUUAAAGGGUGCGCCGGGGGGAGAUUAAGUCAGCGGUAAAAUUGAGAGGCUCAACCUCUGCGUGCCGUUGGUACUGGUUUUCUUGAGUGAGUUUGAGGUAUGCGGACUUCGUGGUGUAGCUGUGAAAUGCUUAGAUAUCACGCAGAACUCCGAUUGCGAAGGCAGCAUACCGGCGUUCAACUGACGCUCAUGCUCGAAAGUGUGGGUAUCGAACAGGAUUAGAUACCCCAGUAGUC